GACGGUGACGCAUAGCCAUUCCCGCCACCUGGACUCGGUGGUGCCGGCAUUGCAGGACUCUGGUGCCCUUUGCCGUAUUGCCUGUGGCUGUGGUGCCUGCCGCUCCUCGCUUCGCAGAAGCCGACGGCAGAGCUCAGAGCGAGCAAGACGACGAGCAGCACCACGGCGAGGCCUUUGCUCAUCUUUGUGCCUGCAGCUUGCAUCGAUCUGUAUCCUAUUCUUAGAUGAUGGCAGUGCCAAGGAAGGGGAUAGAGUGACAGAGUAUGUAUGUGUUAGCUUUGAGCCUGAGGAGGGGUUUAUAUAAGCAGCUCCAUCCAUGGAUAUGGAUGCUUCUUCGAGGCUGGAGCAGAGAAUGGUGGGUGCCACCCUAAGUCACGUGCAUGCUGGGGCGGCAUAUGAAUCAUGGAUGUAUGGAUGAACUGCAACCUCGCAACUACACAUAGUUUUUUUUUUUAUCAUGCGUUGUGCUCUUUGUUCUUUUCGUGAGAAUUGGUUGGAGGAAUUGCCUGCCCUCCAUUAUCCAGCAAGAAAUAUGCCAGAUCGAUGAUGUGGCCUACCUGUGCUAAUUGCUCACGGGGCAGGAAGGUGGCAUCCGAUCCUUUGUACCCAUUCGUGCCACCUGGCACUAGUUUAGUCAUAGUGCAAAGACAAGAUAUUGCAUGCAUACAUGAUGAUUGAAUCUAA